ACUGAUUAGACCUGGGACACCCUAAUCAGGGACUGAUUUAGUGGGACACCAGGUGGGGCCUGAUUUAGACCUGGGACACCAGGUGGGUGAUUCCCCUCUAGUCAGGGACUGAUUUAGACCUGGGACACCAGAUGUGUGCAAUUAAUUAUCAAGUAGAAGAGAAAAUACCCCUGCUAUAGGGAAUAUUUCUGCCAUUUGGGACACAGUCAUUUUAGUAAAUAAACACUUUUAACACUUUCUUCUUAAAACUGGUUGAGGGCUUGAAAAGCAUUUCACUGUAAGAUCUACACCUGGUGUAUUGGACAAUGGUCUCAAAUAACAUUUGAUUUUCUCCUGGUCAAGGAAAAACCUCCUGUCCCUUCUACUAUUGCCAUAUGAAGCAUUUCAGCACUUUGCAGAAAUCAUUAGGCAUGUGUCGGAUUCAUUCAGCUCUGUUAAUUGCACUGAAGCGGGAGAAGGGAGGAAGGAAAGAAGGUUCUGUCCCAAAUGACAUGUCUAUUCCUUAUUUACUGCACUACUUUUCACCAGAGCCCCAUGGACCCCUGUUCUAAAAGUAGGAACGUUAGAUAGGAAAUAGGAUGCACUUUUGGGAGCAGUCUUAAAUGAAUCCCUGGGGAUGGUUGACUUUUAGAGAAGAUUCUAUUGCAGCUCUGAUUGGUUGGUUCAUUCUCAGCCAAGGAUGUAGCUUCUGAUUCAUUGUGCUAAAUCAAGAGAUAGCUGAAAGCUGUCUCUGGACAAGUGAUUGGUUGAUUGAGUGACUGGGUCUGGACAGCCAAUAAUAAUUAUAUACCCUCCAUAUCCAAGUCAAUGUACAUGCAAUGGCAAAGCACCACAAAGUCAACAAUUUUUUUUAAUUUUUUUUUUAAAGAAGAAACAAAAAAAGUCUUCUCCAUUUUGAAUUAGCUGGUGGCUGCUUGUGGGUAGAUGGGUCGUGCAUUAUGUAGCUGUUUGUGGGUAGAUGGGUCGUGCAUUAUGUAGCCGUUUGUGGGUAGAUGGGUCGUGCAUUAUGUGGCUGUUUGUGGGUAGAUGGGUCGUGCCAACGUGGAAGUUCAAGUUGAGCAGACCAUUCAGCAGGGCACAACAGUUUAGAACAGUAAGAUAGAAAUAUGCUAUGUAGAACAAACAUGCCUCUAAAAUGUAGAAUGAAUCACGUUGGCUCCUCUAUCUGCAACGUUUAGCUACUGAACGUGGCCCUGUAUUGGCCUGGGCUCGGAGCUUUUCCAGACCAUAUUACCCGACUAAGGAAAAACUCAGGGACCUACUAAUGUGCAAUGCAGUCUGUUCUCAGCCUAAAAUUACACUUGUUGGCUCUGCCUUUCUCUAAUCAAACCCAUGUGUGGACUGGCGGUCCUGCAGUUGCAUCAGCGUGAGGUCUGAACAGUGAAAACAACACAUUCAAAUGGAAGAACAUCAUUAUUCACUUUAGACGGAUCACCAUGAUAGAAUAAAAUACUUUUUUUUUUUUUUUUGACGAUUAAAUUAUUCCUCUGUUCUGACUCAAUCCCAGUUUUUUUUUUUUUUUUUUUUGUGCAAAAGCAGUAAAGAAUGCCACUUGUUUAGAGAAACCACGGCAAGUCAUGGAACUAGAAGAUAAGGAGAAAAAAAAAAACAUCAACAGUAUUUUGCACUACAAACGUGCACAUUCAAGAAAAGAAAAGAUUAUGAUCACCAACUCAAAAUAUGUUUAAUCAACCUCAAGUCUUUAGUUGGUCAGGAUUGGCACUUCAGUGAAUAGGAGUGCAUUUUCAUUUUUCACAAUUAGAAAUAUAUAUUUAAUCCACCGAUUUGUAUAAUAUCUUACUAUUCUGGUAGUCUUUGUUGAUAGACUGCACACAAAAGUACACCCGAAAAAACAAAACAAAAACAAAGACUACUAAUAUAUAAAUGCUUCUUCACAUGUUAGUGAUGUUUCAUUCUUUUCUGGAUUUAUUUCGUCUCAAAUGUCUGGUUUUUUUUUGGGGGGGGGGGGUCACUUGUUCUGUGGACAACCAUUUCCCUUUAGACAACCAUGGUGUACAGAAUCCUAAAAUAGCCUGUAGUCUAUGACCAUUACCCGCUGCUCUAUGUCAGAUCAAUGCCAAGCUUAGUCUCUUAACAAAUUUGAAUACAUUUUGCAUGUCAACCAAAGCACAACGUGUCCAAAACCACUGCAGACCACGAGUCACCGUCACUGCAAACCAUGAAUCAUCCUCAUCAUUGCAGACCAUGAAUCAUCCUCAUCAUUGCAGACCAUAAAUCAUCCUCAUCCUGAUUGCAGACCAUAAAUCAUCCUCAUCCUCAUUGCAGACCAUGAAUCAUCCUCCUCAUUGCAGACCAUGAAUCAUCCUCAUUAUUGCAGACCAUAAAUCAUCCUCAUUAUUGCAGACCAUAAAUCAUCCUCAUCAUUGCAGACCAUAAAUCAUCC
ensembl:lncRNA